rnacentral:rRNA from 1 species
GAUGAACGCUGGCGGCGUGCCUAAUACAUGCAAGUCGAGCGAACGGACGAGAAGCUUGCUUUUCUGAUGUUAGCGGCGGACGGGUGAGCAACACGUGGAUAACCUACCUAUAAGACUGGGAUAACUUCGGGGAACCGGAGCUAAUACCGGAUAAUAUUUUGAACCGCAUGGUUCAAAAGUGAAAGGCGGUCUUGCUGUAACUUAUAGAUGGAUCCGCGCUGCAUUAGCUAGUUGGUAAGGUAACGGCUUACCAAGGCAACGAUGCAUAGCCGACCUGAGAGGGUGAUCGGCCACACUGGAACUGAGACACGGUCCAGACUCCUACGGGAGGCAGCAGUAGGGAAUCUUCCGCAAUGGGCGAAAGCCUGACGGAGCAACGCCGCGUGAGUGAUGAAGGUCUUCGGAUCGUAAAACUCUGUUAUUAGGGAAGAACAUAUGUGUAAGUAACUGUGCACAUCUUGACGGUACCUAAUCAGAAAGCCACGGCUAACUACGUG